rnacentral:rRNA from 1 species
AUGGACUUUGACGAGUACGACUACUUGGAGAAGGCAGUCGAGCCCUCCGUUCCUUCAACCAACGGCGGGGGUGAGAAGGACCGCAGCUCGCGCCGCCGCUCCUCCACCGCCGGCGGCGGCGGUCGCGACCAAGAGGAGCGCGGAUCGAAGCGUCCUCGCUCGGGAGAAGACCGCGAGCGGCACCGCAGCGGCCGUGAGCACCGCGACCGGGAAGACGGGAAGGAGAAGGUCGACCGGGAGAAGGUUAGGGAGAAGGACGAGGGCCGCGACCGCGAGAAGGUUAGGGAGAAGGACGGGGGCCGCAGCCGCGAGAAGGUUAGGGAGAAGGAUGAGAGCCGCGACCCUGAGAAGGUCAGGGAGAAGGAAGAGGGCCGGGACCGAGAGAAAGUUAGGGAGAAGGAUGGCAGCCGCGACCGUGAGAAGGUUAGGGAAAAGGAGCGGGAGGGCAGGGACAAGCUAAUGGAGAGGGAAAAUGGGAGGGAACGGAGGAGCCGUAGCCGCUCAGAGCGCCGCCGCGGGGAGGAGGAGGAGAUGGUGAGGGAGCUCCAGCGGGAGCGUGAACGCAGCGACCGCCACCGUGACUACAGAGACCGUGAUUUCAGGCGUAAGAAAGAUGAUGGUACAGAACCAGAAGUUGACCCAGAAAGAGAUCAAAGGACUGUAUUUGCCUUCCAGCUAUCGUUGAAGGCAGAUGAAAGGGAUGUCUAUGAGUUCUUCUCAAGAGCAGGGAAGGUUCGUGAUGUCCGCCUUAUCAUGGACCGAAACUCGCGGCGUUCCAAAGGAGUUGGGUACAUCGAGUUCUAUGAUGUCAUGUCUGUUCCAAUGGCAAUUGCUCUGACUGGUCAGCCGCUUCUAGGGCAAGCAGUAAUGGUUAAGCCAUCAGAGGCCGAAAAGAACUUAGCUCAGUCAAAUGCGACAUCUGGUGGAGCAGCUUCAGGUGGAGCAAGAAAGCUGUAUGUUGGCAACCUUCAUUCCAAUAUCACCGAGGACCAAUUGAGACAGGUCUUUGAACCAUUUGGGCAAGUGGAGCUUGUCCAGCUGCCUGUAGAUCCACUCACUGGGCUAUGCAAAGGUUUUGGUUUCAUUCAGUUUGCACGGCUUGAAGAUGCAAAAGCUGCUCAGAGUUUAAAUGGCCAACUUGAUAUUGCUGGGAGAGUAAUAAAGGUCUCAGCUGUUACUGAUCAGGGUGGUGUGCAACUUGGCACAACUACUGGAGAUUUAGAUGAUGAUGAAGGUGGAGGCUUGGCAUUAAAUGCAAGCUCUAGAGCCCUUCUGAUGCGGAAAUUGGACCGCAGUGGCACUGCAACCAGCUUAACUGGUGGCAUUGGUGCUCCUGGAUUGAACACUUCUGUUGGAUUGCCCGCUGCUGCAUCAAUGCUUGGUGCUCCUCUGACAGCUGCUUCUCUUCUUGUACAGCCUGUUGGAGCAAUUCCAGGGGCACCUCUUCCUAUCAUCUCUCAAUCUGCUGAUAUUGGUACACCUACUGAAUUCCUAUUGCUGAAGAACAUGUUUGACCCAGCAGUGGAGACGGAUCCUGAUUUUGAUUUGGAUAUUAGAGAUGAUGUGCAAGACGAAUGUUCGAAGUUUGGUGUAGUGAAGCAUAUUUUUGUUGACAAGCAUACCGCCGGCUUUGUGUACCUGCAUUUUGAUAGCGCAACAGCAGCAGCAAGUGCGCAACGAUCACUUCACGGCCGAUGGUUUGCUGGAAAGAUGAUUACGGCAACCUUUAUGACAGCACAACAGUAUGAAAUGAAGUUCCCAGACCGCGCAGCUAUGGAAUGA